rnacentral:rRNA from 1 species
CUAAACGAGGCCCUGUAAUUGGAAUGAGUACACUUUAAAACCUUUAACGAGUAUCCAUUGGAGGGCAAGUCUGGUGCCAGCAGCCGCGGUAAUUCCAGCUCCAAAAGUGUAUAUUUAAGUUGUUGCGGUUAAAAAGCUCGUAGUUGGAUUUUGGGCGCAGGCGGCCGGUCCGUCGCAAGGCGUGUACUGGCCGUCCUGGCCUCACCUCCGGUUCUCCGCCGGUGCCCUUGACUGAGUGUCGGCGGCGGCCGGAACGUUUACUUUGAAAAAAUUAGAGUGUUCAAAGCAGGCGAUUCGCCUGAAUAAUGGUGCAUGGAAUAAUGGAAUAGGACCUCGGUUCUAUUUUGUUGGUUUUCGGAGCGCGAGGUAAUGAUUAAGAGGGACAGACGGGGGCAUUCGUACUGUGCCGUUAGAGGUGAAAUUCUUGGAUCGGCGCAAGACGAACGACUGCGAAAGCAUUUGCCAAGAAUGUUUUCUUUAAUCAAGAGCGAAAGUCAGAGGUUCGAAGACGAUCAGAUACCGUCCUAGUUCUGACUAUAAACGAUGCCAACUAGCGAUCGGGGGGCGUUAGUUUUACGACCUCUCCGGCAGCUUGCGGGAAACCAAAGUCUUUGGGUUCCGGGGGAAGUAUGGUUGCAAAGCUGAAACUUAAAGGAAUUGACGGAAGGGCACCACCAGGAGUGGAGCCUGCGGCUUAAUUUGACUCAACACGGGAAAUCUCACCCGGCCCGGACACAGUGAGGA